rnacentral:rRNA from 1 species
UACGAAGGGGACUAGCGUUGUUCGGAAUCACUGGGCGUAAAGCGCACGUAGGCGGAUAUGUCAGUCAGGGGGUGAAAUCCCCGGGGCUUAACCUCGGAACUGCCUUUGAUACAGCAUAUCUUGAGUCCGAUAGAGGUGGGUGGAAUUCCUAGUGUAGAGGUGAAAUUCGUAGAUAUUAGGAAGAACACCGGUGGCGAAGGCGGCCCACUGGAUCGGUACUGACGCUGAGGUGCGAAAGCGUGGGGAGCAAACAGG